AAGCUCGUAGUUGAAUUUCGGGGUUAGUAGGUUGGUCAUGCCUCUGGUAUGUACUGGUCUCACUGAUUCCUCCUUCCUUAUGAACCGUAAUGCCAUUAAUUUGGUGUUGCGGGGAAUUUGGACUGUUACUUUGAAAAAAUUAGAGUGUUUAAAGCAAGCUAACGCUUGAAUACAUUAGCAUGGAAUAAUGAAAUAGGACGUUCGAUCUAUUUGUUGGUUUCUAGGAUUGACGUAAUGAUUAAUAGGGAUAGUUGGG
rnacentral:rRNA from 1 species